GGGCCCGCACAAGCGGCGGAGCAUGCGGAUUAAUUCGAUGCAACGCGAAGAACCUUACCUGGGUUUGACAUGGGCGCUAAAGCCGCAGAGAUGCGGUGUCCUUCGGGGGCGUUCACAGGUGGUGCAUGGCUGUCGUCAGCUCGUGUCGUGAGAUGUUGGGUUAAGUCCCGCAACGAGCGCAACCCUCGUUCCAUGUUGCCAGCGGGUAAUGCCGGGGACUCAUGGGAGACUGCCGGGGUCAACUCGGAGGAAGGUGGGGAUGACGUCAAGUCAUCAUGCCCCUUAUGUCCAGGGCUUCACGCAUGCUACAAUGGCCGGUACAAAGGGCUGCGAUACCGCAAGGUGGAGCGAAUCCCAAAAAGCCGGUCUCAGUUCGGAUCGGGGUCUGCAACUCGACCCCGUGAAGUCGGAGUCGCUAGUAAUCGCAGAUCAGCAAUGCUGCGGUGAAUACGUUCCCGGGCCUU
rnacentral:rRNA from 1 species